rnacentral:rRNA from 1 species
AUGGUCAUUGGCUACCCUCAGGUGGAGGCCCAGUCUAUUGCCGAUCGCUUGAACUGCAAGCUGGGGUCCUUCCCCACAACCUACCUGGGGAUCCCCGUUAGUGACUCGCGCCUCACCGUGGCGGACCUCCGCCCUACGGUGACCCGUAUGCAACACCGCGUCGAACCUUGGAAAGGGUGUUGGCUAUCAAAGGCGGCGCGGGUGAUCCUCAUCAACUCCUCACUUGCCAGCCUCCUCUGGUUCCUCAUGAGCUUUUACAGCCUCCAUGAAACGCUGCACACGGAAAUUGCCAAAUACCAAUCUAGGUUCUAUUGGGCUGGCGACGAUGACAAG